GACGAACGCUGGCGGCGUGCUUAACACAUGCAAGUCGAACGGAAAGGCCCUGCUUGCAGGGUACUCGAGUGGCGAACGGGUGAGUAACACGUGGGUGAUCUGCCCUGCACUUCGGGAUAAGCCUGGGAAACUGGGUCUAAUACCGGAUAGGGGCCAUUUUUAGUGUGAUGGUUGGAAAGUUUUUUCGGUGUAGGAUGAGCUCGCGGCCUAUCAGCUUGUUGGUGGGGUAAUGGCCUACCAAGGCGGCGACGGGUAGCCGGCCUGAGAGGGUGGACGGCCAAAUUGGGACUGAGAUACGGCCCAGACUCCUACGGGAGGCAGCGGUGGGGAAUAUUGCACAAUGGGCGCAAGCCUGAUGCAGCGACGCCGCGUGGGGGAUGACGGCCUUCGGGUUGUAAACUCCUUUCGCUAGGGACGAAGCUUUUUGUGACGGUACCUAGAUAAGAAGCACCGGCUAACUACGUG
rnacentral:rRNA from 1 species